rnacentral:rRNA from 1 species
GAUUGAACGCUGGCGGCAUGCCUUACACAUGCAAGUCGAACGGCAGCACGGGAGCAAUCCUGGUGGCGAGUGGCGAACGGGUGAGUAAUAUAUCGGAACGUGCCCAGGUCGUGGGGGAUAACGUAGCGAAAGCUACGCUAAUACCGCAUACGAUCUAUGGAUGAAANCGGGGGAUCGCAAGACCUCGCGCGAUUGGAGCGGCCGAUAUCAGAUUAGGUAGUUGGUGAGGUAAAGGCUCACCAAGCCGACGAUCUGUAGCUGGUCUGAGAGGACGACCAGCCACACUGGGACUGAGACACGGCCCAGACUCCUACGGGAGGCAGCAGUGGGGAAUUUUGGACAAUGGGCGCAAGCCUGAUCCAGCAAUGCCGCGUGCAGGAUGAAGGCCUUCGGGUUGUAAACUGCUUUUGUACGGAACGAAACGGUGAGCUCUAAUACAGUUUGCUAAUGACGGUACCGUAAGAAUAAGCACCGGCUAACUACGUG